GGAGAGACUGUUAUAGUUAGUAACAAUUCAUAUUGGAAUCUGAAGCGGUACAUUGCCAGAAAGCAGGAGAAUGUGCUCCGCAAACAUGGUGCCGCAAAAGGUGAGUUAGUUAUAUACCAUAAUAAAUGAAUAAACAGGUAGGCUAAGGUUAUAUUCGGUUGUACGGAGCCCCG